CUGUUGCCAUCAGGUUUUCAAGCUGAGGCAACAAACCCUAAAGGAUGCGUGGGGUUUGUAGGCUGAAUGUCUGCCUAUUAAAAGCAUGCCUGCAAGAAGAGCAUACAGGUGGGCUGUGCUGCUCAGGACAGCAGGAACCAACACACGUCCACGGGAUUUUGUGUUUUGGAGCAAGUAGUCUCUGGGGUGCAACUGGGAGCCCCAGCCUUGGGGACAUGCUGUGGCACUGUCCCCACCUGCAGGGACAUGGGCUCAGAGCCCACCAGAGAUGCACCCCAACCAGAGCUGCAUCACCUGCACAACAAUUCGGGUUUGCCCCUCCCGCCCCUGUGGCCAUAGCAAGCAACCACGAACCGACAGCCGAAACACAGGGUGAAGCUCCUGAAGUUGUCUGCCGUCAGACAACCCUUGGACUCAGAGGGGAGGGAAAGGAUCACCUCCCUCGGCCUGCUGGUGAUACGUUGCCUAAUGCAGCCAAAAGUACUGUUAGCCUCCUUGGUGUCAAGGCCACAUUGCUGACUCAUGUUCAGCUUGGUGUCCACCAGGACUCCUUGGUCCUUUUCUGCAACUUUUCUCCUCUCCACACUGUUUGGAAAACCUCUGGUAUGGCUGCAAUGAGCACAGAAAGCCAGCAAAAGCCACUUGUAGCCAACACUUCUAUUUUCAUGAAACAUUAAAGUUUCUAUCCUAAUUUGCCCAAUCUGGACUGAAUGACAGUGACAAAAUCUGUAAUGAUUUUUUUUCUCCUGCUGACAACUGGCUGGGAAUAACACAGGCAGCAGUCAGCAGUGCCAUGGUGUGUUGGGAGCUGGAGCACAACCAAGCAUCAUCAGCGGGAUGGGAGACAAUUUAUGUGACAGGCUACUAAUGGACCUAAAUAUGACAACAAAAAUUACUUUCUAACCUGCCCGAGAGUUUAGAAACUGAAGAAUCUGCUUGGCCUCUCAGUCUGGGGGAGUCAUGCUACCCUUGCCCCCCCCCCCCCCAGUCAUCAUUACUGAAGAUUCAGAAGAAAUUUUUAAAAAGUACUGAAUCACCAGCAAUUUGGCUGAGACAGCUGGGAGUCAGGCUGUGGCACUGGCAGCCCAGCUCCCUCGUCUGUUGCCAUCUCUGCCAAGUCUCACCAUGCAGCCCUGGACAAUUGACCUCCAUUUUCUCCUGAAGGUGGGUAAAAGCAAUUUCUUCCUAAAUAAAGCCUCAUUUGAACACAAAGUCAUAUUAUCAUUACAGCAGGAGACUGCACAUUGCAGUAGUGGUGGGGAGUGAAGGUCGUACCUGGGUCUUGCAGGUAAUGACGUCUUGCUCAAAAGGCACAUUGUUUUUUCUCACUCAUUCUUUCCUUCACUAACAUAAUUGUCCAGUUCCUCAGAAAAGGAGCCUCAAAUAUUCAGCCUUUGUCUGUGUUUGGGUGACCAUCUGAAACAGUACAUGCGGAAUGGUUAAAAGAUGUUAUGAAAGGCUGGUGUCAUCUAGGAAUACUGGUUACAGUCACUUCUUGAAUUCAGGCAUCGCAGAAGCUCCUGACUCACUUGGGACAUUGCCUGCAGGCUGGUCACUUCACUGCUGAAUUUUCUGUCCUCUCUGGAUGCAUCUGCCUUCAGGUUGCCAUCACACCAGGCGUCCCUGUGCCCAGUUGUCACUGUGGUAUCCCAAACUGGAGCACUGGGUUGGUAUUUAUGAACUGCAACUGGGCUGGAGGGAGCUUCCCACUGAUGCUACGGCAUCACACCAGCCAGGAAAACCACAGGAGCAGAGGAAACUGCUGCCCACAGUGCCUCCUGCCAGCAGCUCACAUUUGCCAGAGCCACUGCCAAAUUUAUGACACUGCUCAUGUCUAGCCACUGCUUCAGCCUCACAUUGACAGCUAAAACCCAGCACUAGUAACUUAAAAGCUCUUCUGCUUUUGGCAAACUUGGCCACCUGCUGGGAAUGUACCUGGGACUAUUUACUCUUAAAAUGUCUUUUGGGAGUUGAU